rnacentral:rRNA from 1 species
UACGGGGGGGGCAAGCGUUGUUCGGAAUUACUGGGCGUAAAGGGUUCGUAGGUGGCCGACUAAGUCAGACGUGAAAUCCCUCAGCUUAACUGGGGAACUGCGUCUGAUACUGGUUGGCUUGAGGACAGGAGAGGAACGCGGAAUUCCAGGUGUAGCGGUGAAAUGCGCAGAUAUCAGGAGGAACACCAAUUGCGAAGGCAGCUCGCUGGGACGUUACUGACGCUGAGACGCGAAAGCGUGGGGAGCAAACAGG